AAGUCGUAACAAGGUUUCCGUAGGUGAACCUGCGGAAGGAUCAUUAUCGAGUUUUGAACGGGUUGUAGCUGGCCUCUAACGAGGCAUGUGCACACCUGGCUCAUCCACUCUCAACCUCUGUGCACUUUAUGUAAGAAACGGUGUAAGCCAGCUAUUUAAUAGUUGGUAACAAGCCUUUCUUAUGUUUACUACAAACGCUUCAGUUAUAGAAUGUUUACUGUGUAUAACACAAUUAUAUACAACUUUCAGCAACGGAUCUCUUGGCUCUC
rnacentral:misc_RNA from 1 species